UCGGCACGGUAAGUGAUCACUUGAAAAAGAGGAAAGUCCGAGCUGCGAUAAGACGAAGUUCCAUCUAACGGAUGGCUAGGGCAACCUAAGGGAAAGUGUAACAGAAAGCAAACAGCCGCUAAACGCGGUAAAGGUGAAACGGCGGGGUAAGAGCCCACCAGCGCGCUUGGCAACUCGCGCGGCUUUAUAAACCCAACUUGCAGCAAGAAGGGACGGUUUUAGUCUUAUAUUUAAACCCUUCGCUAGAGCUAAAUUGUAAAAUUUAGAGUAGAUAAAUGAUCACUCACGACAGAACUCGGCUUAUCGCCGUGCCUUAAUU
rnacentral:RNase_P_RNA from 20 species